CGCGUAGGGUGCGAGCGUUGUCCGGAAUUAUUGGGCGUAAAGAGCUCGUAGGCGGUGUGUCGCGUCGGCCGUGAAAACUUGGGGCUUAACUCCAAGCGUGCGGGCGAUACGGGCAGACUUGAGUACUACAGGGGAGACUGGAAUUCCUGGUGUAGCGGUGAAAUGCGCAGAUAUCAGGAGGAACACCGGUGGCGAAGGCGGUUCUCUGGGCAUUACCUGACGCUGAGGAGCGAAAGCGUGGGGAGCGAACAGG
rnacentral:rRNA from 1 species